AACUUUCAACAACGGAUCUCUUGGCUCUCGCAUCGAUGAAGAACGCAGCGAAUUGCGAUAAGUAAUGUGAAUUGCAGAAUUCAGUGAAUCAUCGAAUCUUUGAACGCAGCUUGCGCUCUCUGGUAUUCCGGAGAGCAUGCCUGUUUCAGUGUCAUG
rnacentral:rRNA from 1 species